GACGAACCGUGCAAGCGUUAUUCGGAUUUACUGGGCUUAAAGCGUGCGUAGGCGGCCUGGCAAGUUGGGUGUGAAAUCCCUCGGCUCAACCGAGGAAUUGCGCCCAAAACUGCUGGGCUGGAGUGAGACAGAGGUGAGCGGAACUGAUGGUGGAGCGGUGAAAUGCGUUGAUAUCAUCAGGAACACCGGUGGCGAAGGCGGCUCACUGGGUCUCUACUGACGCUGAGGCACGAAAGCUAGGGGAGCAAACGGG
rnacentral:rRNA from 1 species